GACAUUUAAACUAGAGGCUCUAAAGAGCCUGUGUCGCUCACCUUGGUCUAUGUGCAUAUCAAACAAAGGACACAAAUGGAUUCAUGACAAAAUUGUAUUUUGGUGAUGGUGAUGUGUUUGAAGUUCUUACUUUACUGAACGAUUUUUGCUUCUUACAAUUAUAUCUAUAAUGAACUUUGCCCAUUAGUAACAGAGAACUAUAUUU
rnacentral:lncRNA from 1 species